CGUGCUAUUCUACUGUCUAAAAAACCGUGUCCUGUUAGGACUCUCUCUCCAUUGCAGACAAAACCAAUUCCCAGUACAUAUAUAUGCAUCUCUAAAAGACACUGCUGCCAGACGCAUCAAACUCCACACAAGAAUCACAGGGUUAUACACACAUACAUACACAAUGUCUAAUCGCUACACACACAACAAAAACGAAGGCUCAAGAGGCGCAUUCAAUCCUAGAAAACAACAAUUCGUCCCCAAAAACCCUAAUUCAUCAGCACAAAAACUCUCCGAUUCUCUCCGUCACUCCGAUUCCAGCGCCGUCGCAUCGUCUGCGACCGCCGGAAACAGGCUCAUACGGAAAGACGACGCUUCGGUGCCUAAUCAGACGCGGAGUGGCAAUUUUGUAAAAUAUUUGCCACAUAAUGAGGCGGUUGCUUCUGGAUCGGAUUGGCUGCUGAUGUGGAUUGGAUCCUAUUUAGUCGCAACGUGUUGUCGAUUUGCUUAAUCGAGAAUUGUCGCGUUUGCUGAAAUUGAAUCCUCGGGAAUUCUGGAAAGAAGUGGCAGGUGAUACAUCCUUGCACGAUUUUCUAGAAAGUUUCCUGAAAUCUAGAACUAGAUGGUAUGAUUUUCCAUAUCGCGGAGCUAGAGGAAUUGUUGCAGGAACUAUUGUUGGGGAGUAUGAAUUAAGUAGGCGUGUCUAUAUGGUACUAUAUCGAAUAUCUUCCAGUCCAGAUCCAGGAGCUAAGGCUGGGGAUAGUCUUAGUCCAAAAGAUCAUGCAGUUUUCUUUAUUGAUUUUUUUAUUUUGAGGCUGACUAUAUGCACUUGGAUAAGCCAACAUAGAAAGGAACAUUUGAUGCAGAAGAGAAAGCGGUGAAGCUUAGGAGUGAACUCGUGGGCAAUGCUGCUAAGGUGAAGGAUAUUACUCGGAAUUUUAAGCUGGUUGAUGGAGAACUCACCUAUGAAGUUGAAAUGGCAACUGGAUCCGUAAGCCUUCAGCCACACUUAAAAGCCUCACUAAAGAAGCUGUGAAAUAAAAUCAGUUACUUGGCAAGUAUAAAAAUUGUUAAGUUGCUUAUGCGGCUCUAUCCAGUUUCAAGUUUUCCUUUUGCGGCUUCUUUUUCUGCAAAUGUUUUCCUAGCAAGUUGUGUUUCGAGCUGUUAACUGACUGGGUGGCAUCACCGAAACUUAUGCAUCACAGUAACAUUUGCCUAAAAGUUAUGUGGUAUUUGGGAAUUAGCAUAUCACAAUUCUUGAUGUUUCGAGUUAAAAAAUUCGUAGCUGGCAUUUAGUGCGUCGUCGCUGUGACUCUUGUAACACUAUACUUGGGUAUAUUUGUCAAUCCUUGCUCUAAUGCUCUCAUAACGUGGGAACAUCCUAUCUGGCUUAUUUAUUCUACAUAUCUCGUUUGUCUUAAUAAUAUCUUUGAUGAAUUGCAAUCCAUUUCACCCACUUAUACGCUGCCCUGUAGUUGUAAUCUCAUGUUCAGAACUCUCUCUCCCAAUAGAGAUUGCAGACAAAACCAAUUUUGGGUCAUCUAUCUAUCUAUAUACAACACAUAUGCACAAGUCGAGCUUGCCGCUUAAAGUGAGUUGAUCAAAAUCUGAAAAUGGCGAGCGGCGGCAUAGCUAGAGAACUCACUUCCAAAGAGGCCGACAUUCAGAAGAUGUUGGCGGCUGAGGUGCAUCUUGGUGCCAAAAAUUGUGACUUUCAAAUGGAACGUUAUGUCUUCAAGCGCCGCAACGAUGGUAUUUAUAUUAUCAAUUUGGGCAAGACAUGGGAGAAGCUUCAGAUGGCAGCCAGAGUCAUUGUUGCCAUGAAGAACCCCCAGGACAUUAUUGUCCAGUCUGCCAGGCCCUAUGGUUAGAGAGCGGUGUUGAAAUUUGCUUAGUACACGGGUGCCAAUGCUAUUGCUGGCCGUCACACUCCCAGUACUUUUACUAAUCAGUUGCAGACGUUGUUUAGUGACCCCGUCUCCUCAUUUUGACCGAUUCAAGAACUGAUCACCAGGUUAGUUAGCAUUUAAUUGUCGAGCUUGCUUUUUAUUUCGCUUAAGGAUUAUAUUUUGGCUAUAUAUAUAUUGUAAUUAUUUUCAUUGUAUUUACUUGAUUGACUAAAAGCGAAGUAACCUCCAACUGCUGCUACUGUGUUUAUGUUCCUGCUACUAUAUUUAUAUAUAUUCAAGUCUUGACUACUAAAAAUGCCUAUAAUAAUAACAGACUGUUGUGUGACUUUUUAUGUCCCAAAUAGUUGAGAUAUAAUCAUUAAAAGUAUUACCAAAGUAUUCUCGGGAAUCUAAUAUAAUGGAAGGCCUGGUGUUAUUAAUUGGUGGUUAGUUUUAAAUAUUUUGCCUAGAUUAUUUAUUUUAUAAGGUCUUAUAUACCUUUAACAGACUACGCUUGGGACAACCAUGAACGACUUGCUCCUCUGGAUUACAUUGUAGCAUUGAAAGAUGAUGAAUUUGUUUAUACUUAUGAUAACGUGGCAAAAGUAGUGCAGGGUUACCUAAAAUCUCCCUCCCUCCCUGUCUGUUAGCUGAAGUGUUGUUUUCUAUAAUUUGAAUCAAUUGGUGAUAUAGGUUUUAUAUCAUCAAAUAUGUCAUAUGUUGGCAUUUCAUAUAGAUG